CAGUCGCCGCGGGAAUACGGAGGGGGCUAGCGUUGUUCGGAAUUACUGGGCGUAAAGCGUACGUAGGCGGCUUUGUAAGUUAGAGGUGAAAGCCUGGUGCUCAACACCAGAACUGCCUUUAAGACUGCAUCGCUUGAACGUCGGAGAGGUGAGUGGAAUUCCGAGUGUAGAGGUGAAAUUCGUAGAUAUUCGGAAGAACACCAGUGGCGAAGGCGGCUCACUGGACGACUGUUGACGCUGAGGUACGAAAGCGUGGGGAGCAAACAGGAUUAGAUACCCGAGUAGUCCCUGUCUCUUAUAC
rnacentral:rRNA from 1 species